AAGGAAUGAAGGGAAGAAACCCAGGAGUACUCCAGGACCUCUCUCAGAAGUCUGCCUAGACAAUGCUUGCUUCUGAGGAGGCAGAGGGAUCUCUCCAGCCACUUACAAGACAGGUUUCCUCCUUCCAUUUUUGUGUCCAUGGCCUCUGAGGCUAAAUUGAAGAAGGGGAGAAUCCAGGUUCACCACAGACCCUCCAACGAAGGGCAGAGAGAGGCAUGACUUUUCCCAGGCUCCAGAGACAUUUGGAAAGGGAGCCUGUGGUGGAGAAGCUGCUGCCAGAGAAGUGUCAAGGAAUUCAGGUCAGAGGGAAACUCCAGAUCUGACCCAAGGAGCUUGGUUGGUAGCCCAAGAAGGAAUGGGGAAUCAGUUCCUACCUAGGCCAGGCAGGGCUUCCCCCCGAAUAUCCCCUGGAGGUGUUCUGUGGGGAAACAAUGACUUGAAGCACCCCAGAACAACACAUCUUCCAGGAUGUAAAAUCUGUACGUCUGUCUUCCCGGUUAGAUUGCCUUCUCUCUCAUUCUGUUGUACUCUCCCAGUGUCCAGUACUGCUUUGCCCACAGAGACCACUUACAUAUGACCGACCAAUGAAUCAAUGCUAUCAGAGUGCUUACUGUGUGCUAAGCACUCCAGUAAGCCCUUAGAGAAGUACAAUACAAUGGAGUUGACUGGAUGCAAUCCCUGCCCACAAGGAAUUUACAGUCUGAAUUGAGGGGGGAAGAAGAGAAGGUCAGAAAGACUAAGGAUGGCAGAAAGGAGUUCUAUUCUAAUUAGGGACUCUUGUUAAUUUAUUAUUUCCUCACUUGAAGGAAAUUAAGAUAGAGAUUGUUCAACACUACCCCCUACCCUGAAGGUUGCGGCACAAACUAAAGGCCUGGGGUGUCCUUAAUCUGUUAAUUUGUAACAAGAUCAAUACCCACCAACUCCAGGGUUUCCUGCAGCAGCCUUUGUUCCCCCGAACCGAGCACGUGCCCAAGUAUGUGCAGGGAGAGGGAGGACAAUGGGGAGAAGGCGGCAAGCAAGCAGGGAAGAGAGCCGCGGCCUGUCGAUUUCUGGGGUUAAAAGAACAGGGGUUGCACUUUCUCUGUUUCACGGGCUUUCCUGAAUCGGCCACACCUCUGGUGGAGGUGCUGAGAAGCAGGGAAGUGACAGCAGGGAGGAAGGAGACGGAGGAUCUGGAUAACAGAGCAACUAAAUACAAGUUAGGACCACUUUGGCAUCUGUAAUAGCCUGGAGACACACCCACACCAUUAGCCAACUCGCCCUACUGGACACAAGCCCCGACAAUACAGCCAAUCAAUCGCUGCAGGAGAGAAGGCUCCCUUUCCCAGCAACCUGAGGAAGACCAGCGGGGCCCUGGGGGAGGAGGCUGGUUUGGCAAGAUGUGAAUGAAGCUUCGUGCCAGAGAAUCGAAAGAGGUGGAAGGUUUGACUGAGGGGCUGGAGAGAGACACUGGCUGUCUCUCCCCACCACUGCUCAUGAGGUAAGGCCCAAAACCAAAUCAAAGCAAUUCAAGUACUCACUCUUCAAAGAUUCAUUCUUUGGAAAGAAAAGAGUCAUGUAUAGUCUCUGUGCAGGAUUUUCUUACCACCUGGCUAAUUGGUAGUCUUAAGAAAUGUUAAAUAAGAACUGUUAAGUAAUAAUUUCAGAAAUGAUCCCGAAUCAUCAAUAUGAUAUAAUGUUAAUAAAUUUAGGACAGAUUGACCCACAACUUAUCACAAUUUAAAAACCCAAAGAGCCCCCAUGGCUUUGAUUAGGCCAAUUUCUGUGUGGAAAAAUACUCGUUCGGGGCGAAACUAGGAAGUUGCUGCAAUGCUUCAGAUUUCACAAGCAUGUAUUUACUAAAGCGUAUAGCAGAGAUUAAACAUUAAUUGGAAUUGACACACGACAGAUCUAUAUAUGCCCCAGUGAAACCUCUUGGCUUUCACCCACAGAUAAAUCAUUUGAGUUGAAAAAUGCUUAGUGGAAAUAACUAUUGAUUGGUUUGGUUAGCCUCGAGUGGGAAUGCAGUAAGUUAUGCCCAGUGCAGAUCAAGGAGUUAGAAGUGAAAGGUGGGCCGCUGUGGGCCUCAAGCAAGCAGGCAGGCAGGCAGGGCGGCCAGGUGGUAAGAAAAGGGCUGUGUCUGUGCAGAUGCCGUCUCUAGCACCAGUGGAGCUCUGUGCCCUGGCGGGGAUUGGGCUGCCAUCGGCCCCAUUUGAUUUGAAAUGUUUCAGGACGAGAUGCGGUGGGCAGCUCUACGGCUGCCCGGCUAGCUUGGCAAAGCAAGCGGUGUGAAUAGUCCAAAUCUGGAGCAUAAAUCCUCUAUGCCCCUGACGGGAGCAUCAACCAAACCAAUCUGGCCCCAGUGAGCAGCGAGCAUCCACCUGGGCUAGGCCAGACGGAUCCAGCAGCAGACAGACUAGAACUCUAAUAAACAGCACCAUCAACUAGUGCGAGAAGAAGGAACGGCCCACGGCCAAAUGGCUCAACUACCCACCGGAAUAAGAGCGUCACUUGAAAUAUCGCUUGGUGUCUAAGAGGGAAUAGAGAUUUAAAACUUUUGGAUUAGCCUUACCGGAAAGAAACUUUUGCCCUUUGACUAUACUGUCAGCUUUAAAAACAAGAGAAGAGAACAUCAUCAACAAACAGUCGGCCUAAGUGCGUGAAAAGGGUGACGGUGUCCCGGGAAGCAGAUUGAUCCAGGGUCAGACCCUUGUGGGGGGGGGACCUGAAAAUAUGAAGCAGCAUACUCGGGUGAAGUGGGAAGCCUUCCCUCCAAGAGCAGCUGUGAAUUGGGCUCUUUUCUCUCACUCCCUUUGGGUGUGAGGGGGCCCGAGCACCCCUCCCCCCGCCAGA